UACGAAGGGGGCUAGCGUUGCUCGGAAUCACUGGGCGUAAAGGGUGCGUAGGCGGGUUUUUAAGUCCGGGGUGAAAUCCUGGAGCUCAACUCCAGAACUGCCUUUGAUACUGAAGAUCUUGAGUCCGGGAGAGGUGAGUGGAACUGCGAGUGUAGAGGUGAAAUUCGUAGAUAUUCGCAAGAACACCAGUGGCGAAGGCGGCUCACCGGCCCGAUACUGACGCUGAGGUGCGAAAGCGUGGGGAGCAAACAGG
rnacentral:rRNA from 1 species